AUGGGCGUCGCGGAGUGGACGCGCGGGCCGGCGAUCGGCAGGGGCUCCUCGGCCACGGUGUCGAUCGCCGUCGACCGCCGCACCGGCGGGGUCCUCGCGGUCAAGUCCGUGGCCGCCGACCGGGCCGCCGAGCUGCGGCGCGAGCGGGGCAUCCUCCGCGGCCUCAGCUCGCCGCACGUCGUGCGCUGCCUGGACGCCGAGGACAGGAGCGGCGGCGGCCUCGACAUGCUCAUGGAGUACGCGCCCGGCGGUUCGCUGGCGGACGAGAUCAGGCGGUGCGGCGGCCGGUGCGCCGAGGCCCUCGUCCGGUCCCGCGCGCGCGACAUCCUGCUCGGGCUGGCGCACGUGCACGCCGCCGGCGUCGCGCACUGCGACGUCAAGGGCCGCAACGUGCUCAUCGCCUCCGACGGCCGCGCCCUGAUCGCCGACUUCGGGUGCGCGCGCCGGACGGGCGGCGGCAUUGCCGGCGAGGAGCGGCAGCGGCCGACGGGCGGCACGCCGAUGUUCAUGGCGCCCGAGGCCGCGCGGGGCGAGGAGCAGGGCCCGGCCGCGGACAUAUGGGCGGUCGGAUGCACCGUCAUCGAGAUGGCCACCGGCGCCGCCCCCUGGCAGCGGUUCGCCAGCCCCGUCGCGACGCUGCACCACGUCGCGUUCUCGGGCGAGGCGCCGGAGUUCCCCCCGUGCCUGUCGGACCAAGGCAAGGACUUCCUGGCGAGGUGCCUGCGGCAGGACCCCAGGGAGCGGUGGACGGCAGAGCAGCUGCUGGAGCACGAGUUCGUGGCCGCCGCCGGCACCGCCUCGUCGUCCAAUUCCGCGCCAGGGAUCACCGAGAAGGCCACGUUCGUGUCCCCGAAGAGCGUCCUCGAUCAGGCCCUGUGGGAGGACGACGACGACACGACGGCAGACACCAGCGAUCCCACGGACAGGGUGCGCGCGCUGGCCGCGGGCGCGCCGGCCGUGCCGGACUGGACCUGGGACGCGAGCUGGAUCACGGUCCAGGCAGGCCCCAGCGGCGGCGCCGAUGAAGAGCCAGCAAUGUCGCCGGAGGUGGGCACGGACGCCGACAGCAGCGACUCUUCCAUGGGCGGCUCCGCCGGGCGUGCGGCCGCCGCAGAGGCGGGGGCCUCGAGCAGCCACCAGGCGUCGCAUGCCAAUGGCGAUCGUUACGAUGGCACGGGCAGCUGUAACGGCGAGCGCAGCGAUGAUGGUGAUCACGUGGUUAGCGAUUGUAGCACCGUUCCAAUCACAAGCAAUGGAUUCUUUUCCGAUACCACGUCCCGUUUCGCUUGUCCCAGCCCCAGCCAAGCUGGCCGGCCCGGCCCGUUUACAGUACCGCUCCUACGACCUUUCUCCCGCUGUUGUUCUUGCUGUCAUUCGCUUCCCGCCUCGCCAGCCAUUAUUAGCAGGAGUGAGUGGUACUCGAAAUCCAACUUAACACAGCUAGCGCGAAUGCCAGCCAACGAUCCUCGCCAGUUGGCAUGGCGCACAUUGUGGAGGAGGGAAUGCGCAUCGAUCGGGCGAUUUUUUCCUUUGGUCGGUCAUGUAUCACGCGUGACUGGCGAUUGGGUUAGUGGUGGUUACGCCGCGCGCCGCGGUACGGCCGGCGAGGCUGGUUUGGUUAGUUAUGAGGCGGCGACGUCGGGUGUGAGUGGCAUCGUCGCCGGCGGGGCCCGUCGGGCGCGCGGGGAUGGUUUCGGUUUGUUCGACGUGGCCGCCGCUGGCUCGCGAGCUAGCUCCGUCGGGUGGAUGCGGUCCAUCCCUCCACCAAUUGGCAGCCCGUGA
rnacentral:rRNA from 1 species